rnacentral:rRNA from 1 species
UACGUAGGGGGCAAGCGUUGUCCGGAAUCAUUGGGCGUAAAGAGCGUGUAGGCGGCCAGAAAAGUCCGCUGUGAAAACUCGAGGCUCAACUUCGAGCUGUCGGUGGAAACUUUCUGGCUAGAGUCCGGAAGAGGAGAAUGGAAUUCCUGGUGUAGCGGUGAAAUGCGCAGAUAUCAGGAAGAACACCCGUGGCGAAGGCGGUUCUCUGGGACGGUGCUGACGCUGAGACGCGAAAGCGUGGGGAGCGAACAGG